rnacentral:misc_RNA from 1 species
UGGGAUUUGGAUUUGAGGAAAAACUCUCAUUAUCCUCGCUUACUUGAUGCUGGUUAAUAGGAGUUUGGCCUUAUUGGACUUUCACUGGUGAGUGCUGACUAUACGACUGCCUCCAAUGUGGUUCUCUUGUACUGCAUACCUUCAUUUUGAUUAGAGAUAUUUGAGGCAUUGAUAGGGAAGUCAUAGAUGCGGAUUACUCAACUGCCUUGCAGCGCUCUA